AACGCCACAGCCAUGUUGGACAGAAGCCCACUGAGAUAAUAUCCAGAAGGGUAGCUAUUUUAGUCUGUGGCAACAAAAACUACAAAGAGCCAUGUGUCAUCUUAAAGAGGGACAGCAAAUUUAUUGAAACAAAAGUUUUCAUGGACCAGAGUCCACUUCAUCAAAUGCCUGAAACGUGAUCCUGAACUGGCCUAUGGUGGGGGAAUGGAGAGGAGUGAGGCAAGAAGGAAAUUGAAUGGAUAGAUAGUGAUGAUUACGCAAAAGCAAAAUAACUACAGCGACAACAAACAAGGCAGCAUUGGUGAUAAGCAACACAGAUGUCCUGGCAUUACGGAGCUAUUUAGCACAUGCAGUGCGAUACAAUUCCAUCAUCUCAAUUCAAGUCACAGGUGACAGAGCUGGAUUCCCUGGAGAAAAAAAAACAUUCAGAAGUUUCAAGCUGGAGGUUCCCUCUGGAGUUUCUUUGUUCAAAUAUGGCCAACAGAGGAUGGUUAGGUACAAACAAUCCUAAUACUGUAUGUCGGGUUUCUGAUUGUCCAAUUUGUCCAGUUCUGAUUGUCCAAUUUGUGUCCAUUUUUCAUAGAGACUGACAACUUUAUUGUAGUAGGGUACAGAAAAGCAUUGCUGGCAUUUGACACCUUUUAUCCCCUUGGAAGGAGAGCAGAUGAGCAAACCAUGAAUGUUCACCCCCUAGUGAUGUCAUUGCCAGGACGGAAAAUGCCUCCCCUCUGCUGCCACCACCUCCUGCUCCACUGCAUGCCCACCACUGUGCACAUCCCCACACCCACCUCCUCUUCCUCUGCUACAUCCCCACCACUGUGUGUCCUCUCACCGCCCACAUGCCUGCCUGCCACCUGGCAGCAAUGUGUCGAUGUGCUGCGCCAGCAGCAAGCUGAGUGUAUGGCAGUGGGCACACAGAGGAAGAGGAGGCAUCAGCCAACAAGCAUAGAGCAUGCUUCAUGGAGGCCAGAUUUGCUACCCCUCCCAGCUAUCUGGAGCCUGCCGCCCCGAGACACAUCACCUCACCUCAUACAGACUCCUCCUUGUGCCUCAUCUGGAGUUGUGUUCCACUCAGUCAUUAAGUUCCUCCUAAACUAGUUUUUUGUGGGAUGCAGGUGGUGCUGUGGUCUAAACCAUUGAGCCUUGAGCUUGCUGACUGGAAGGUUGGUGGUUUGAAUCCCUGUGACGGGGUGAGCUCCCUUUGCUCGGUCCCAGUUUGAAAGCAUGUCACAGUGCAAGUAGAUAAAUAGGUACCGCUCCGGCAGGAAGCUAAACAGUGUUUCUGUGAGCUGCUCUGGUUUCGCCAGAAGCGGCUUAGUCAUGCUGGCCACAUGACCUGGAAAAACUGUCUGUGGACAAAUGUCGGCUCCCUCGGCCAGUAAAGUGAGAUGAGUGCUGCAACCCCAGAGUGGUUCGAGACUGGACUUAACUGUCAGGGGUCCUUUACCUUUACUUUAAACUGAUUUUGACCAGUUUAGUUCUCAGGCCAUACCCUUAUAUACAUGACACUGGUCUCACUGACAGUGGGUUUCUUGUUCCCCUCCGGAAUUUCUACUUCACUUUCCUCUUACAGAUCUCUGAUUAUCUGCCUUUGUAUGUCAGCACAGGCCUUCUGACAGUAUCUUAAAAUGUGAGAAGAAGCCCUGUCUCCAAGAACCAGUUGCUCUCCUAUCAAGUGAAGGAAUGUCACCAUAAAGGUAGUUAUUUGGGGUCAUGGUCAUUGCUCUCAGCCCAACCCAAUAUAUGCUGCUUGCUAGGGCAGCACUACUUGUGUGGGCCAACUAAGCCAGGAUGAAGAGAUGGCACCAUGAAAUCCAUAAGGAGAUGUUGUUGCUGUUGCUAUAUUUAUGGUAUAUUUAUAUACCACCUUUUUGUUCCAGGGAACUCAAGGUGGUAUACAUGGUUCUCCUCCUCCCCAUUUCAUCAUUACAACAACCCUGUGAAGUAGGUUAGGCUAAGAGAUGGUGACUGGCCCCAGAUCACCCACUAAGCUUCACCACCAAGUGGGGAUUCAAACCCUGGUCUCCCAGGUCAUAGUCCAAUACUUUAGCCAUUACUCCACAAUGGUUCUAUUGCUAGUAACACCCCUCCCCCAAAGGGAGCUGAGACAUUUGGGUGCAUGCCAUGAGCUUUGGGUAAUAAAGUGGACUUUAAUUAUGGAAAUUAUUUGGCUCACCCAUUCUUUGCAUGUGCUGACCCAGAACCUAUAAGCAAGGGUUCCAGGUUUUAAACCCUGGGCUGGAUGAAUCCACAAGGGCCUGACUCUGCACCAACAUACAGUUUGUAACCUCAUGCAACGAGGAGGUGACUUUUCGAUUUUCCAGCUGACAUAUCAAAAUGUAUUGAGGCAGCUCUGUCAAUUGCUUGGUUGUAGGCAGAAAGAGAAAGCAGGAGAGCAGCCAAGGCUGUUUCAAAUCAGCUCAGAGUUCCACUCCACACACACAUGCACACACACACACACACACAGAGAGAGAGAGAGAGAGAGAGAGAGAGAAUGAGAGAGAUAGAGAGGAACCAUAGCAAAUGGAGGAUUCAGACCUCCAGAAACACUGCACAGCAGAAAGUCUUUCUUCUGUGCCAUCAGGUGCUCCCAUUUGGAGUCCUUUUCAGUUGCGUGCAUGAUGGUCUCUCCAGCAACAGGCCGGGGGGAUAAUUACAGCACUUUUCAUAAAUGAAGUAUGGGAGGCACAAGAGGAGGAAUUAAGCUGUCAAUAGCAUUGCAACAAUCUACAGAUAUUGUUUGGAUUUGACACAAAAAGCAUCAAUCCUCCCUUUAGUGUGGCUGAGUCCGUGAAAGGAAAACAAUGGCGAGGAAGGAGUAGGGAGAAGAGGGACGCAAAAGAAGCUGAGCAGAAGAUGAUUCACAGCUCAUUCAAUGGGGGGGGGGGAUGGGAUCUGAUGCACAAGGAUGAAGGGCCCUAGAACAUGUUUUUCAUCCAGCUGCAUUAAAAACUUGCUUGGGGCUUCCAUUUUGCCACUCUUGCCGCAUUACCCUGUAGCCCUCCACCAGAUGCAUCCACAGCAGGAAGAAAUGAGACUCUUACUGGGUGCUGCUCAGAGUGACAGCAAUGCAAAGCAAACAGGUCUAGCCUAUGGGAGUCACAAGGACACUCACAUUUUCCUCCACUGUGUCAUUUCCAUACACUUGGCACAGAAGAAUUUCCUGGGAAAUGUCACCCCUGUGUGUGUGGGGGGGGGGGGGCAGAGAAUGGGCAGGAGAGGGAGGAAGGGAGAGAGUUUUAUUCAUUCAUUUAUUUUCAUAAAAUUUAUACACUGCUUGUUUAUAAACAAAACGAAACAAAAACUGGGAACAUUAAAGCGGUUUGCAAAAAAGAUGAAACCACAAAAUUAUCAGUAAGCAGAAUUAAAAACCAAUAAAAGAAGACUUCUGAAAUAUUAAAAUGCCAAUAGAUUAAAAGCAAGAGUAAAACUCACAUCAGUUUUCUAAACAUUUGAGCAGGCUUGCCUAAGCAGGUGCUGAAAAGAGCAUAAGGAAGGUGCCAGCCUGGCAUCAACAGGCAGGGAGUUCCAAAGUGUGGGGGCUGUCACACUAAAAUACUGAGUUUUUUAAAAAUGUGGAAUGAGUAUUAUCUGGCACCUGUAACAGGACCAGUUCUGCUGAUCGAAGCCAUCAAGUGGGCACAUAUAGGGUAAGGUGAUCUUGCAGGUAGGCUGGUCCCAAAUUGUUAAGGGCUUUAUAUGCAGUGGUACCUCAGGUUAAGAACUUAAUUUGUUCUGGAGGUCUGUUCUUAACCUGAAGCUGUUCUUAACCUGAGGUACCACUUUAGCUAAUGGGGCCUCCCGCUGCUGCCACGCGAUUUCUGUUCUCAUCCCGAAGCAAAGUUCUUAACCCGAGGUACUAUUUCUGGGUUAGAGGAGUCUGUAACCUGAGGUACCAUUGUACUAAUAACGACGCCUUGAACUUUACGAAGUAACAAAUCACCAACCACUGCAAAUCUUUGAGCACAAGUCUUACAUGCUGCCAAGGUCUCACUGCAGUCAGCAGUCAUGCUGCAGCUUUCAGCAGCCUCCAGAUCAAAUACAGUGGUACCUCGGGUUACAUACGCUUCAGGUUACAGACUCCGCUAACCCAGAAAUAGUACCUCGGGUUAAGAACUUUGCUUCAGGAUGAGAACAGAAAUCGUGCUCCGGCGGCGCAGCGGCAGCAGGAGGCCCCAUUAGCUAAAGUGGUGCUUCAGGUUAAGAACAGUUUCAGGUUAAGAACGGACCUCCAGAACGAAUUAAGUACUUAACCCGAGGUACCACUGUACAAGGGAAGCCCUACAUAGAGCACAUUGCAGUAAUCCAGUUGGAUAGCAUGUUUUGGGUCAGCACAGCUCCCCAAUCAGCACCAUUCCAAGUCUGGAGCAUUCUUUUGACCAGUUACCUCCACACAUUCUCCAACGUCACCACCAUUAACUGUGACUCCUCCAUUGCAUGGAGUUGCACUAGAUGACACUUCUACAAUUGUGUGAUGUUCUACAAUUCUAUGAUCAGCCCAGUUCUCCCACAAAAGAGACCCCUAGAUGUUCCUUUAGUGACUUCUACUUGCAGAGACAGAUUUAGGGGCAUGUGGGAGGAGCGGGGGCCUGCAACUAUGCAACUAGGCGUGACAGUUGGAGGAGUGAUGGAUUUUGGUGUCACACAGGGCGUGGCUGAAAUUUGAGACCCCAAGAUCUGCCACUGCUCCUUGCUCAGGGCACCCCAGCAUCUGCCUUCCCUGAGAAUGAAAGCCAUUGCCAAACACUGCUGCCAGAUGUCCUUUGCAUUAAGGUGGAAGUUUUCGUUUUAUUUAUGGGAAGGAGCAGUGAGGGUGAGUCAUGCCAUCAGUGAUGGAAGGGAACAGGACACCUUUCACCCUUGUUACUGUUUCUUGUCUCCUCACUGUGUGAUGUCCCAGGAUGAUGGCAGCAAGUCUUCCAAUCUGUCAGGAUGAUAGACACAGGCUGACCCUUCUCCCUCUGCUCAGCAGAGACUCAUGAUCCUCUCAUUAGCAGCAUAGCUAGCUUUUGGCCCAAAUUCAACCUUGGCUACUUGUUCCAGGAGGGAAGCCCAACAGACAGCAGGAAGCUACCCUCCCACUUCAAGCACAGACCAGUUAGGCAAGCAAGAAUAUUUGUGAGUAUCAAAUACUGACACGGAAUACAGGUGUUAGGUGAGGUUUAGUGAGUACAUGCAUUGCAUCCCACAACAAAAAGUCCUGAAAGGAUUUAGCAUAAGAAUACAAUAUGAAAGUAAAAAUAAUGAACAUAUUAAAAUCAUUAUAGAUUUGUAAGGGACCCCAGGGUUUUUUCCAAUGAAUCUGGGCACCCUCUUUUUUUCCCUUUUUUUUUUUUUUGAAGCUGAGAGGCAAAGAGAGUUAGUAGUGGGGAUGGUGAGGCAAAAGACCCUGGGCUCAAGCACACAUGCAUAUUGUAUAAAGGUGCAAAGCCCUUCUUUCACACCCUGUGAAACAUAAAUGUGCAGAAUUUUUUAAAAACUGGGCAAUGGUGCCUGCCCGUGGCUCCCAAGCCUCCCCCGAUCUGUCAAAAUAAAGGGGGAAGGGGGAAGGAGAUCAGGGGAGACUUGGGAGUCAUGGGCAUGUGGCAGGCCGUUGCCCAGUUUUUUAAAAAUUCUGUGCAUUUAUGUUUCACAGGGUGUGAAAGAAGGGCUUUGCAGCUUGCCCAGCAGAGAAACCACGUGCCUUGUGCCCCUCCUGGGCAAUGGCUGCCCACCCGCAACUCCCAAGCCUCCUCCAUCAGUCAAAACAAAGGGGGAAGGGGGCAGGAGAUCUGUACUGCUGGACGUCCCCGGUUCCCCUUCGACAGUGGCGGUGCCAGCAGCAGUCAGAGCAGCUUGGAGCCAGCCAGAGCCAACUGCGUUACAAGGCUGGCUCUGGGCUGCUAAGGCUGCCGCUGCCACAUUUCCCGGGGACAGAUGUGCAAAUCUUGGGACAUUCCGGGGACGGAAUUUGUCCGGGGACAGAUUUGCAAAUCAGGGGACUGUCCCCAGGGACGUCUGGUAACCCUAGUCCAACCCCUGCAAUGCAAGCAUCUCAGCUAUAGCAUCCAUGACCAAUAGCCAUCCAACCCCCUACCCUGUGGAGCAUCAGAAAACAAGCUUGCUCCAUCUUCCAUGUGACAGCCCUUCAGAUAUUUGAAGAUGGUUACAAUCUCGCAUCUCUUGGGUGGCCAUCUGUCAGGGAUUCUGUAGCUGUGGUUCCUGCAUUGCAGGGGGUUGGACUACUUAACGGUUGGGGUCCCUUCCAACUUUACAAUUCAAUGAUUCUUUGAUUCUAUAACCAUGCUGGUUCUUAAACCGUGGGCCAAUAACUGCUUUCAGGCAAACAUCCAGAACAUCACACAAAAUAUAUAUAUAUAUAGGGGAAUGCUGAAUAGCCAAGGCUCGUUGGAGGUCUCCAUCCCGGACUGAAAAGCCAAGCCACUCUUCAGAUACAGUUCUCCUUUGUUUUCCUCUUUCCUGAUGUGUCUUGCUUACCUCUCUCCCUGGAUUGUGGCAGGGUCUGGAUUGCUUUUUAAUUUUGUGUACCAGUUAGACAUUUUAGUCACUUCCUUAAAUAAUAUCUUUUCCCCCUGGAAAACAGCUUGCCUUUUCAGUAGCUGCUGUGGAAACUUCAAAAACUAUAUCUCUGUCUGUGUGCAUAAUUUGCUCCCAUAUGAGAUCAGAGCCACAGCAUGGAUUAUGGGAUGGACAGCAGCCACAGAUUGCUGCAGCUGAGAAGUCUUUCAAGCAUCAUCUCUCUUGGCAGCUGUAAGAAAAAUGGAGGAGUGUUUGCAAAGUUCAAGUAAAACAUAAUAGACACCCUAAGCCUGGUUUAAAAACCACAGCUGUAUCCAGAUGCUUCAUGCUGUUAAUGACCCAUUCCCCCGAAUCCCUGCCUAUAGAUUUUGAGUAUGUUGUGGGGGAAGCUUCUACUCCUGCUUUCUCCUUGACCUAUAAAUAUUCAUAAUCAGGGAGAUUUUGAUAUGGGUGGCUUUCAAACAAAUUAUCCCCCUUUUGCUCCACAUGCACAUCUAUUUGCUUUAUGCACCCCAUCUGGAGUCCUGUGUUCAGUUCUGUGCACCACAAUUGAAGGAUACUGACAAGCUGGAAGCUGUGCAGAGGACAGUGACCAAAUAAUCAAGGGUCUGGAAACCAAGGAAUGGCUGAGGGAGUUGAGUAUGUUUAGCCUGGAGAAGUGAAGGCUGAGGGGUGAUAUGAUUGCAAUCUUCAGGUAACUGAAGAACUGUCACAUGGGAGAUGGAGCAAGCUUGUUUUCUGCUGCUCCAGACGAUAGGGUCAAACCAGUGGAUUCUAAUUGCAAGAAAGAGGAUUCCAACUAGCCCUUAGGAAGAACUUUCUGACAGUAUGAGCUGUUUAGCAGUGGAAUGGACAACCUUGGAAGGUGGCUGACUCCCCUUUGUUGGAGGUUUUUAAACAGAGGUUGGGUGGAUAUCUGUCAGAGAUUCUUUAGCUGUGAUUCCUGCAUCUCAGGGCAUUGGACCUGAUGACUUUUGAGUCCCCUUCCAACUCUGCAAUUAUAUGAUUCUGUGAUUCUGUAUCAAUCAAUUCAGACUGUUCCUUGCACCCUUCUAAAUGACAGAAUCAGGUGUGAGAAUAUUGCCAAGGAAGCUGCCACAUGGAUAUAUACCUGUCAGAAGAAUGAGGUGCAUUCCACAUGCCCCUUGCCCUUCCUUCCUUCCUUCCUUCCUUCCUUCCUUCCUUCCUUCCUUCCUUCCUUCCUGGCAAGGGCUCCUCUGUCGGCCUUGGAAGGCAGCCAAAGCCAGACCCCCUGGUUGGGUCACAGUCACUCUCCCCACCUUUCGACUCCCUCCUCAGCAGCAAGCACUAAAAAAUAGAAAGAGAAUUGGUUUAAUUUAGAAUAAUGCGACACAACUCCCCAUUGAGCGCCUCACCCGUGAAGGGUGAUUACCUUUCUUUUUUGCAUGUAAGGAAGGCCUGAAAUACUGAUGGGUCUUUGAGGCCUCUUGUAAGGUGGGAGGGGAGGGGAGGGGGGAAAGGAAUAUAAGCAUAUGGGGUCCCCUUCAUGGGUGAAAUACUGUCUAUUUGUUAUUAUCCAAGAGUGGAGGGGGAGGUGGAAGCAAAUAGGUGCGUUUCGAAGGGAAGGGUGCAGAAUGAAUCAGAGGCAAAUGGAAGUAAUAGCCAUCUUAUUAGCACGGUGGUGCUUGCCUUGAUGCAAAGUGGGACGUGCAUGGAACAGCAGAUGUCUCUAGAUAAAUCAAAUCCGUAACCUGAUUUAAACUGCAACAUUGUGAGGAGACAGAGGGAAAAAUUGUUUGCAAAGUAUGAGCAGAUUCACACAGCCUUGUUAGAUAGUGAAGAAUGCAGGGCAAGAUGCUUGAUCCAUCUGUCAGGGACCUUUUGGCUGUGAUUCUUGCAUAGCAGAAGCUUGGACUAGAUGACCCUUUGAGUCCCUUCUACAGUUCUGUGAUUCCAUGAUUCUGUGCUGCAGAAUGAAGCACAGGGUGAAACUGUUCUGCAAUUCUCUCACUCCAUGGCUUACAGCUCAGCCCACAUUUGCUGCAUCUCGCUUGACUAUUUCUGGGUGUGUGUCUUUCAUAGCGGCAAGGCUCACGUCUGUUCACAGCUGGCUUUGCUCCAUAGUAAAGCAAAGAUUCAGCUUGCUAUAAGCUGAACUCUGCAGAAAUCCAGUUUUGGAGUAAAGCUAUCCUUAUGUGCUCAGAAGCUCAUAUGCGGUCUCUCAAGCCAGUGAAGCUUCACGUGCCUGGAAAAUGUCACAAAAGCAGAGCAAUGGCAAAUCUUGUGCUGUGUUACGGAACUAUGGACAUACCAGUGGCUUAAAAUGCAGUGAGAUUGUUUCUCUUCUGAUGCAUUGCAAGUCACAGUUGCACAAAUCUGCACACCAGAGAUGCGGCAGGGAUGUGUUCAUCCAAUGUGCAUUGCCUGCUUGGUUCCUGCCCCUACCGCUCCCAACUCCAAUUCGUGAAGCUGUCAUCUGGACUCAUGCAAUGGCUGUCUCAAAUGCGCAUACUUCAGCUUAGGUUUUCAAAUCAAAUAGAAGUUGAUUUCAAGGCAAGCAAGAGCUUUUAAAAUGGUGCAUGCAUGGAGAAAGCAGAUAGAGAAAAGUUUUCCCCACAUUUCCCAUAAUGCUAGAACUCACUGACAUCCAAGAAAGCUGAAUGUUGUAAGAUUUAAGGUAAAGGAAAGGACUUCUUUAUGAAGCAUAUUGUUAAACCAUGGAACUCACCCUCACAAGAGGCAGUGAUGGCCACUAACCUAGAUGACUUAAAAGAGGAUUAGACAAAUUCAUGGAGGAGAGGGCUAUUGAUGGCUACUAGCCAUGAUGGCCUCCACAGUCAGGUGAAGCAAUGCUUCUGAAUAUCAUUUGCUAGAAACCACAGGAGGGGAGAGGGCUCUUGUGCUCAAAUCCUGCUUGUGGGUUUCCCACAGACAUCUGGUUGGCUCCUGUGGAAACAGUAUGCUGAACUAGAGGGGCCAUUGGCUUCAUCCAGCAGGCUCUUCUUAUGUUCUUAUGUGGGAAAGCACACUGAACAGCAGUAUUCCUCGAGAUACUACAGGGUGGAUAUGGAUUAUGGCUAAUGUCAUGUGUACAUGGCUUCAAACACCAGCAGUGGGAGUGCACUGGAGUCCGAGGGAAGUGUGAAGUGUGCACAGCCAAAGUGAUGAUGACGGCAAUGAUAGUGGUUUGCCCUGGCUGGCCCCUCGUGGGAGAAGCUCACUCAAGACCUUUGUCAUCUCUCAAAAUAUCUUCACUGCUGUAUCUUCUUCAGAGGGUGGAUGUAGCACAAUUUGGCUUUCAGUUGUUUCGCUCAUGGCAAACUUUUACAAAAACUGCUAUUUUUCAGAAGGUCUUAUUCCAUCCUUGAUGCAUCCUAACCACCUGUGCCCAAGGAGUGCAUUGUAGAAGAGUGUGAAAAAAAAGCCUUAAUAAAUCCCACAUUAAAAUCAGAUCUCAAAUUCUGCAGUGAAGUUGUUCAAAAGGGAGCAGGAUCGAUACCAGUCUGUUCUCCUCCAUUCUAUGUGUCAGCUUUAUUGUUUCUAACAAAAAGUGAAAUCAAUAGCAAACGCUACUUAUAGUUCAUUUUCAAACGCUCAAUAGCCACAAUGCAAUUUUGACCAACAGUUAUGAAUGAUCUGUUAUCUUGCCCAUCCAAUCUUCUGCUUUAUAGUCUGCAGGCAAAUCUCUUUGCAUGGUGUGUGUGUGUGUGUGUGGUGGGGUGUGUGUGUGGAUUGGUUUCAUACAUUGACUUUACUUCCCGCAAUUCUGCAAUAAUCGUUCACAAAUAGGCUAGGCUUGCUGAUCAAUUCCAUCAUCUGAAUGGAAGAGUUAUUAAUGCCUCUAAGCCUGGAGCCAAACUUUUCUGAACCAUUAGCCAUGCACCCCCAUUGAUUAAAUAAACAAAGCAUGGCCCCCUACCAACCAGCCAGUGAUCUGAAGGUGAGCUGCUUUUCAAAGUUCCUGUUUUAAUGUAAUUAUUAUAACAGCAUGAGAUGAUUCUGCAAUUUCAACACAAUAACUUCCCCUUGUUGCUAUAUGUGUCUCAAUAGCCUAUAGAGUGGCAUCUCCUCUCUCAAACCCUUGGGUUUUUUUCCUCUCCCCCCCCCCCCCAGCACAUUACUUUCCACCACCAAUGGAAACUUUUCGAGAAAUGUUAUGUUGGGGUUUUAACAAACAAUAUAUAUGCAUAAAAUGUUGUGUCCUCAGCACGGCUGUCCAGCCUAGGAGUAACCGUUCUCUUUUACGAGAUGUUGAUCUCCCUUUGGAUGACUUGGAAUAAUUUGAGCUGUAUUUUCUCUGGUGGCUGACAAGGGCUAGGUUCAUAAUCUUCCAAGUAAGGCAAGGCAGCUGUCCAGCGGAGCGAAGCAGCGAGGCAGUUCUGAAGUCAGCUUCCAGAAAGACAGCUGCAUUGUGGUGGUUGGCAUCCGACAGUCUUGAGCGGCAUUCAUCUGCUGUUAUUGCAGCAAAAGCAAGAAAGUGCCUUGUGACUUAGAAGGGGCCCCACCCAACCAGCAGGUACCUGAAGAUGGGCAAUGUAGCAGCUUGAUGGCUUUUACAGGAAGCCCUAACCCUAACCCAUCCUUCUGGAUGCACAAAAAGGCACAGAUUCUGAAAGUUCUUUGGCCAGUGAUUUAUUCUGAGGUGUAGUGCUGUCUUGGUUUUAAUCUGUACAUGGUGCUUAGUAAUUUUUAGGUGCCUUCAUAAAUGAUAAAUCAUCAUCAUACUACUGCUAUGGAGAGGAAGUCCUCAGGGUGUCAUUGCCAUCUCUGGUUUUGGUAUCCAGUUUUAAGGGUGAGCCUUUUCCCAUCUCCAGCGGGGAAAGCAACAGAAUUUAGAGCAACAGAAAGAGUCCUCUUGGUAGUUUCUCCACCCUCAGAAGCUUGGGGAGGUGCUGGUAGUCCAGGAGAGGGCAUUCUCUGUGGUGGCCCCUAAGCUGUGAAACCCGCUUCUCACAGAGGUGCAUCAGGCAACUCCAUGAUAGACUUUUUGGUGAAUGGUGAAGAAAUUCCCCUGUACCUUUGAUAACAUGGCCUUAGAAUCUUCUCUAUUUUUGUGACUGUAAAUUUUUAAAAGAUGUUUUAUAUGUUUUAUUUUAAAUUAUUGUAACCCACCCUGGGAUUUCAGGGUGAAGAGUGGGCAAGAAAUUAAAUUAUUAUUAUUGCUCGUAAUAGUAGUAAAUGAGAAAUACUAAGGUUUAGCUCAGCACAGUGCUAAGAAUGGAAUCUGGUCCAAUUUGCGUCCAACUAACUGCAUAUUUUUCAAAAUUUAUGUGGGCUAAUUCAGAAAUAACUAUAUCUAAGCCUACAAAUUACAAACAUAGCUGUAUCCAAGUUGCAAUUUACAUACCUUUAAAAGCAAACAUUAUGUAUCACCUACAGCAAUGGGGUGGGAAAGCGGUGCAAAAAUUGGGUAAUUUCCAUGCAUCAAAAUGUCCUCUUAGCAUAGCUAAUCACUCUGGGGAUUUGCUGGCCAAUUUGACAUUUUCCCUCUUGGAUGGAAGCGCCAUUCCGUCUCUAGUCCCACAGCUGGAAUUGCAGCAUUUUGCUUGAAAACAGAGAGGAGCAGGAGAAUGCCACCAUUUUAACAGUGAGAGGUGAGCAAAGGGAAAUCUUGAAUCUUUAUUCAGAGGCAUAUUGUUGCAUGCCACCCCAAUCUUGGAGCAGUGGGAUAAUCCAGGGGUUCCAGAUGUUUCCCCAGGUUUGGUUUCUUUGGAAUGAAGGUCAGUGGAGACUGUGGUGUCUUUAGAAUACAUGGUGUAUUUACACAUAUAUACAACCUGAGCAUAAGAUGGAGGGGCUCAUACCAUUAGCAUCUCAACAGAUUAGUCACAGUCUUGGAUCCAGCACAGAGCAAGCAUGUCUCUGUGUCUCCAGCUUCUAGCCUCUUUCCAGCUAAUUCUCACACACUCUCCCUUUUGUUCUCCUAUCUAGUAACCAGGUGAAGGGGGUAGUGGAAAGGCCCACUAUCAGCCUCAGGGCAUUGUCACUUAGUUGUGGCUCUAGCAACCUAGCUCAUUCUUUUGCAAUGCCAAUGAGGGCACUCAGUUGGCCAGCUGAGGUCAUUGUUUUACAGACAUGCUUCUUUGACCAGUUCAGCAACCUCAUCUGCUAAAUUCUAAUCCUCACUGGGUGCAGGACCCCAAGUACUGGAAGGGUCUCAGGGCAUCAUCCAGAUUGACCUUCAAACCCACAAUAAUAUGCAGGGCAGAGAGAAAAGUGUCUGAUGUGGCAGAGGUAUCAAAUUUCAGAAUUAUCUCAUCAGAAUUUUAUCUCAUCAAAAAAGAUUUUAAAAUAAUUCAAACUCUUAGGUCCUGUAAAUAGGAAUGGGGUUAGGAACUUUUGAUCUGAAUGAAAAAGACAUGCAUUAAGAUACGUUUGUUUCCAGCAAUUCAGCAGCUAAGAGUUACUCUAAUGUCAUUAGUUGUCCUAGUGCUUAAAAAGACCAUCCUGCUCACUCAGGGCUGAGAUAUUAUUCAGAUGUCCAACUCCAAAAAGGAGCCUCAUUAUAAUGGCAUUGGGGUUGAACAAGGAAGCACAGUAUGUGGGACUAUGGGGAAUGGGGAGCCUCUACUGUACUUUACUUCCAGGGCAACCAGCAACUGUCAAUAAUGCCAGGAUCUUUAUGGGAGGAGGAAGUAAAGGACAGGAGGCAUGUUCUAUACUACAUGGGGACAGCAGGGAAACAACAGCUUGAGAAGAAGGAAAAAAACCUGAAGUUGCUUAGAAGGUGCAUUGAUGCAAAUGCAGCCAUAGCAUCCUUUGAUCUGAUGAGCAUCUUAAGUGCAACUAUGAAGGAGAAGUAACAUGCUUACUCCUGCAGUCUGGAAGAGCUCGGGGUUGGAGGGGGGGGCGACCUUCUCCUAGCUUGCGCCUGGCUUGGAGGAGAAAACACUUGAUACUUCCUCUCAAAGAGGUUAUUUACAAGGGCUCUUGUAGCCGGAAUCAAUGCACUGGAUCUGGUGAAGUAUGGCUUCAAUUUUCCCUUGAAAAACUUGGAUCGGAGAAUGCUGAUUCUGCAGGUCCUCCUUGCCACUCAGUGUGCUCUUGAAAGAGGCCAAGGCUUGAACAGCCAGUGAGAGAGGCACAAGGAAUCCAGCUAGAAAUACCUUGGACAUUGAUGGACUCUUUUUAAACAGAGGUUGGAUGGCCAUCUUUACCCAUGCUUCCUGCAUUCCAGGGGGGUUGGGUCCCUUCCAACUCUACAGUUCUAUGACUGAGAGGGCAGCCAGUUCAGUUCCCAAUUCCACCCCUCCAUUUAUUCCUUGCUGAAUUAGUCUAAGCUGCUUUCCCAUGAACUGCCCUUGAUAAAUGGGAGCUGCAGCUGAUAUAAAGUGAAGUGGCCUUCCUCCUGGAGAUGGGCUAGUAGGCACAAUUAUGACCCAUUACUCCAUCACCUUUCAGGGGAAAACAAUAUCCUUUUUUUAACCCACGAAGCUUGAAAUGUUCUGUACGUUAUGUCCCUGAGAAAUUGCCACCUUUCCUCUGCCCUGAGUCAUCUCUCAGGUUUUUACUAUGCUCUGGGUGUGUAGGAGUCCAUGACAGAUAAGGAACUACAGGAGCAGAGCCUCUAGCAGCCCUUCCAUAGCUUGGUGCUGUGCUGUGGAUUUAUGAAAUAGGAUCUCCUUCCUUUCUGCCCAUAGAGCAACCAUAUAGAGUCAUGCUGCUUUGCUAGAUACCACAUACAAAAAAAGGUUCAGGGUUGAUUCGCAACAUAAAAGAUUAAAAAUGUUGGUGAGUACUAUGGACACAGACUGGGUGAAGUUGUUGUUGCUCUCAGCCAUGCAGAAAAGGACUCUGGGAAUCCGUGGCCUGUUUGCGUCCCCAAUUGCCUCCUUGAGACCGGGCUGCAGCAGCAGCAAACUCUGGUUGGAGACCUGCGCUCCCGCCCAUGAUGGAAGGUCAGGGCAUGUAUCAAAGCUAUGUUAUUAGAGCUAAUGCUGCUCUCUCACACGCCAGUUAAUUUGCCAUCAUGAUGAGGCACUUAGAAGAAACAGCUAUUAGAGCUCUCUCUUCCUGGAAAGGCUAAUUGCCAGUGCAGCUCAGAUGAGGCUGGGCCCAGCCAGAAAAAAAGGCCAGUGUUCACCUUCAUGAGAGUGUCAGUAAUUUGGGGUUAAAGGUCUGAAAGAGCUGUUGACCCCCUCGAAAUGACUGUGUUUGUAGACAAUUCCACUGGCAAGAAUGCCUCUUUCUCCUUUUCUUCCCCUUGAAUAAUAGGUAUUUGCCCAAAGAUGCUCACGUGUUCGUGUGUAUGUGUGUGUUUUAAAGUAUUCUGCUGCCUGUUGAAUGAUAAUCUCCUUCUUAGAUCAUCCUUUUGCUCUGGAAAAUAUGGUAAUGACUUGAGACCAGAAGAUUAUCAUCAGCUUUAGGUGAAGAACAACCAGCUGCAUGCACUCGAAAAAAGCAUUUAUUUUAAAAAUAUGUUGUUUACUCCUUGUUUUGGCAAAUGGGAGUCUGUACAGGAUGAAGAUGGUUCUUCUCCUCACAUUCCUGCAUGAGGCAUCCUCCUUCAGGAAAGCAACCCCCAUUUCUCUCCUUUGCCAUGGAGAGAAAAAAGAGAGAGAGAUAAGAAGCUAAUAAAGAGCUAAGUACGGACCCCAGAAAAAAGGGCCCAAGUAAGCCUGGAUGAGUCCACAUUACCUCAGUUUCCCACCUUCAAACCAAAUAGAGUGAUCUCAAGGUGAGUGGGAGGGAAAACUCUAGGGGCUUAUUUAAUAUACCAGCCUAGUCAGCACCAGUCUCAAUGCUUUCCCUCUGUAAAGUUGGGCUUACCCAAUACAGGGAUAAUUUAACAAGUUUUGGGAAAGACUCUCAUACACAAUCCUCCAUGAAGCCAUGACCCUAACUGGGCAAUCUUGGACCUAUCAUGAUUCCACAACCUGUCCUACCUCAUGGAGUUGUUGGGAGAGUUAAAGGCAGGUGGGGUGGAUCCAUGGAAGAGAACAAUAAAUGCAGCCCUGAGCCCCUUGGUGGAAGGAAGAAUAAAAAUGGAAUAUGCAAAUGAUUUGGCCAUCCUUUCUAGAGAGAAUUGGGUGUCUUUAUGAGUACUCAGACACUUUCCCAGGCAUCUACGCCUGAAGAAAGGAUGCCCCAAUCAAAGAGGCUGUGGCACUCUUGUAGUGAGAACCCACCAGCAAGACAGAAACAUCUGUUCUCAACCUUCCUUUGCUGUUUUAAUGCAACAAUUUGAGUCAUAUGGCUCCAGCUGAAAUAGCUUUGCUUCCAUUUGCAUCUGCAGGUUCGCUAAUUCGAUAAUGUUUCUGUUGAUUUGGGUUCUUUAAAAAAAUGCUUUAAAAAUUAGUGAAAAACUGUUUAUAGUUUUGUUGAGACCAUGUUUUUGCCUGGAUAGUUCAGUUGGUACAGCAUCGCAAGGGCGUGGGUUUGAAUCUCAUGUUGGGCAAAAGAUUCCUGCGUUGCAAGGGGUUGGACUAGAUGACCCUCAUGGUUCUUUCCAGCUCUAUUAAUUAAUUGUUACUGUUUCGAAUUUUAUUGUGUUUCUUCCUUAGUGGAUUGUGCAAAUAGCUAUUCUGAUGAUUAUUUUUAAGGUAGCGUAGGGGGCCCUAAUGAUGAAUUUAUAGAACCAAGAGUGGCCCAAAAAAGUUUGGGAACCUCUGUUCUAAUGUGUACAUAGCCUUUGUCUCCUUGCAUGUGCAUCCUCUGCUACUGAAACAUCAGCCAGAACUGAGCCACUGCUUUUUUGUGCUGGAUGCACAGCUGUUUAUGAUGAGCUAACUAUUUUGUGUGCUGACCUGAGCAGCCAACAGGAUCAUGUUAGAACUGAAAACCAAUUGGGAGGGUGGGGGAGAGAGAACACUCUCACACUCUUCAGUUUUAAGUCAGCAUCUGAAAACACACAGCUCAGCUGUCAAAUUCAAGGUUCGGUUUCCAGAACUUAAAAUGCAGAGGAUAAAGUGCAUUUUCCACUUUGAGAAGAGCCAAGGGAAAGGGAGGCAAGCUUUCCCCAGGGACCCUGCUGGGACUCAGCUAUUCCUUCCUGCUCUAGGAAAAACUGCCAUUCUGCCAGCCUCAAUCGCCCGCCGGACCCUGGCCAAAAGUGGAUGGGGAGCAAUUUGCCCCUGCUUCCUUCAAAGCACAGCCACCUUUAGAUUUGGUGGACAGAGUGCCUGAAGAACUAUGGAUGGCGGCGUGUAACAUUAUACAGGAGGCAGCAACAAAAACCAUCCCAAUGAAAAGGAAAUGCAAGAAAGCAAAGUGGCUGUCCAACGAGGCCUUACAAAUAGCGGGGGAAGGCAAGCAAAAUGCGAGGGAGAUAGUGAAAGAUACAGGAAAUUGAAUGCAGAUUUCUGAAAAAUAGCAAGGAGAUACAAGAGGGCCUUCACCCGCCGAGCAAUACAAAGAAACAGAGGAAAACAACAGAAUGGGAAAAACCAGAGAUCUGUUCAAGAAAAUUAGAGAUAUGAAAGGAACUUUUCGUACAAAGAUUACCAUAAUAAAGGACAAAAGUGCUAAGGACCUAACAGAAGCAGAAGACAUCAAGAAGAGGUGGCAAGAAUACACAGAGGAAUUAUACCAGAAAGAUAUGGAUGUCUCGUACACCCCAGGUAGCGUGGUUGUUGACCUUGAGCCAGACAUCCUGGAGAGUGAAGUCAAAUGGGCCUUAGAAAGCACUGCUAAUAACAAGGACAGUGGAAGUGAUGAUAUUCCAGCUGAACUAUUAAAUUUUUUAAAAGAUAAUGCUGUUAAGGUGCUACACUCAAUAUGCCAGCAAGUUUGGAAAACUCAGCAGUGGCCAGAGGAUUGGAGAAGAUCAGUCUACAUCUUGCUCCCAAAGAAGGGCAGUGCCAAAGAAUGCUCCAACUACUGCACUCAUUUCACAUGCUAGCAAGGUUAUGCUUAAAAUUCUACAAGGCAGGCUUAAGCAGUAUCUGAACCAAGAACUCCCAUAAGUGCAAGCUGGAUUUCAAAGGGGCAGAGGAACCAGAGACCAAAUUGCAAACAUGUGAUGGAUUAUGAAGAAAGCUAGAGAGUUCCAGAAAAAACAUCUACUUCUGCUUCAUUAACUACACAAAAGCAUUUAACUGUGUCAACCACAGCAAACUAUGGCAAGUUCUUAAAGAAAUGGGAGUGCCUGAUCACCUCAUCUGUCUCCUGAGAAAUCUCUAUGUGGGACAAGAAGCUACAGUUAGAACUGGAUAUGGAACAACUGAUUGGUUCAAAAUUGGGAAAAGAGCACAACAAGGCUGUAUAUUGUAUCCCUGCUUAUGUAACUUAUAUGCAGAAUUCAUGAUGCGAAAGGCUGGACUGGAUGAAUCCCAAACUGGAAUUAAGAUUGCCGAAAGAAAUAUCAACAACCUCAGAUACGCAGAUGACACAGCCUUGAUGGCAGAAAGUGAGGAGGAAUUAAAAAACCUUUAGAUGAGGGUGAAAGAGGAGAGCACAAAAUAUGGUCUGAAGCUCAACAUCAAAAAAACUAAGAUCAUGGCCCAUCUGGUCCCAUCUGGUCCCAUCACCUCCUGGCAAACAGAAGGGGAAGAAAUGGAGGCAGUGAGAGAUUUUACUUUUCGUGGGUCCCAUGAUCACUGCAGAUGGUGACAGCAGUCACGAAAUUAAAAGACGCCUGCUUCUUGGGAGAAAAGCAAUGACAAACCUAGACAGCAUCUUAAAAAGCAGAGACAUCACCUUGCUGACAAAGGUCCGUAUAGUUAAAGCUAUGGUUUUCCCAGUAGUGAUGUAUGGAAGUGAAAGCUGGACCAUAAAGAAGGCUGAUGGCCGAAGAAUUGUGCUUUUGAAUUCUGGUGCUCUUGAGAGUCCCAUGGACUGCAAGAAGAUCAAACCUAUCCAUUCUGAAGGAAAUCAGCCCGGAGUGCUCACUGGAAGGACAGAUGCUGAAGCUGAGGCUCCAAUACUUUGACCACCUCAUGAGAAGAGAAGACUCCCUGGAAAAGACCCUGAUGUUGGGAAAGAUUGAGGGCACAAGGAGAAGGGGAUGGCAAAGGACGAGAUGGUUGGACAGUGUUCUUGAAGCUACUAACAUGAGUUUGACCAAACUGUGGGAGGCAGUGGAGGACAGGAGUGCCUGGCGUGCUCUGGUCCAUGGGGUCACGAAGAGUCGGACAUGACUAAACAACAACAACAACAAAACAGGUGCUCCAUCCCCCCGUUUGAUUUGAGAGUGAAAGACCAUGGAAAUGUGUGGCAAGGGGGGAAUCCAUGGAGAGCAAGUUGUGAGCAAGCUCAGUUGGUGAUAUUGCACAUCAUUACUGAUGUCAGGACUUGCCUGUUAAUACAUCAGUCUUAGGGCUCAUCCAUACUUUCACUUGUACACUGCCCUGGUUUGUCCAUCAGCCAUGCAAGUUAGAGGUGCUGGGAGCUGUAGUCUGGAACCUCUGGAGGGCACCAGGUUGGCAAAGGCUGGUGUGAUGGCCUGGGAAUCUGAUUCAGAAGCUGAACCUGAGUAGUCCCAGCUUGCACAGGGGUCCCCGCCUCCAGGGCUGGCUGAGCCGUGGCAGGGGCUUGAAUCUGAAGGGCCUGCACCUGUGCCGGAUCCUCAGGAGCAGACACCAGAUGUAGCCACUCUGGCUCCGGAGGUGAUUGAGGACCCAUUGCCUGCAGGUGCACCUCUCCCAGCCCUGUCAGGGGAAGGUGAAGCUGCCCAUGGGUCCAGUUACCCUCCAGCCUGUCCUGAGCUGCAGAGGCUCAGGGCAGAGAGGUGGAGGGAACUAAGUUCUCUCAGGAGGAGUGCUCGCCUUAAGGCCAGGAGAGGUGGGUCACCUGUGGGCCAGGACUGCCCCUGGCCUCAGAGGAGAUAAAGGCCAGUCAGCCCAGUCCCAGGUUGCGGGAGCAACGUUGUUGGAAACCUGUUUCUGCCAGCACCCAGACCUGUUCUUCCGGAGUUCCCGACCACGCCCGGCUUCUUGCUUUGGACCCUGCUUCGCCCUUGGUGGACAGUCUCCAGACCCUCGACCCAGGACCGGACUUUGACCACGCCUCUCAGUAACACCCCCCCGGGUCCAGCACAGCUGGUCUACUCCAAAUGGCAGUGGUUUUCCAAGGUAUUUCUCCACUUUGCCACCCAAGAUCUUUUAGUCUGUAGAAGAUGGAAUUUGGAUUUGGUACUUCUAGUCCUAAGCUCUGUCCCCCACCCCAAGAUUUGAGAAUGGGCAUGCAGCCACCUUACACUGAGUCAGAUCAUUGGUCUGUCGAGCCCUGGUUUGUCUCUAUCUGACGGUUACUGCCUCUCCAAGAUGGUGGCUGUUGCACUACCAGUGAUUCCUUUAAAUGGAGACUAGAUGGAUUGAACCUGGGACCUGAUGAAAGCCUACAAAAAGGGUACCCUAUCCAUUUAAAAAUUAUAUAGACAGAAUUCUAAUGUAUUAUCACCAAGGUGUCAUGAGACACAGUGAAAAUGUCUAGAUCUACAGCCCAAAGUGUUGUUCCCUAUUCACUAGAACCCAUGUCAGUCAGGGUGGCAUCAGUGAUGAACAGGCCUCAACAAGAUCAAUGAAGCAGAGAAUUCACACAAACUCCUUCCCCUAUAAAGAUUACAGUGUUGCGAGUUUUGUUAGCUCAACCCUGCAAAUUUACAUGUCGUUUCCCAUCUGCUGUGUUGAGCAGAAUCCCAUCCUGGGGCUUGUAGUCAAGAAAACAGAUGGAAGUUUUCUUUCUUAAAACCUGUGGGGGACAAAGGAAGAGGAGGAGGAGGAGGAGCCCUGGAACUGGAUUUUGGGGGGUAUUUCAAGCAGAUUAACCCCCUUGUGUACCUAAGGUAUUUGUGCCUCUAACAAGAAAUCAAAAUUGUGGAAAUUCACUUUUCUGCCUUUUAUGGGGGAGCAUGUUUCACUACUUAUGGAUUACAGUGAAAAAGACAGAGGGAAGUUUCAAAUACAGGACAGUGGCUGUAUCUCACAGCCAAGGAGAAAGGUUUGCAUUAGGACUGUGCAUGACAUUUAUAAGACUUACCUGGAAGGUAAGCCUUGGCAGGACUCAGAGGGGAUCAGUUCCAAGCAGGAAGCAGAGCAUGGGACAGAGGGAAGUAGAGGCCAGGUGUGACUUGGCAACACCACAGAUAGCAUGCAAAGAGUGAAGAUGGUAAAACUCUUCCUGGAAUGUAGAAUAAGAGAAUUGUAGAGUUGGAAGGGACUCCCAGAGUCAUCUGGUCCCACCCCCUGCUCUGCAGGAAUCAAAGCUGCAGAAUCCCUGACAGAUGGCCGUCCAACCUCUGCUAAAAACAACCUCCAAUGAAGGAGAAUCCAUUACCUUCCAAAGGAAUCUGUUCCACUGCGGAACAACUCUUAUUGUCAAUAAUGUCUUCCUAAUGUUUAGUUGGAAUUUCCUCUGGAGCAGCAGAAAACAAGCUUGCUCCAUCUUCAUUUGAAGAUGGCUAUAAUAUCACCUCUCAGUCUUUUCUUUUCCAAGCUAAACAUGCCCAGUUCCAUAAAUCUUGUUUUUCGGACCUUUUCUCAUAAUACUUCAAUGCAUCUUCAGAUAGCCAUUGGUGAUGGGGUUGCAAGUGUGGAUACUGCACAUGAAAAUGUAGCCCAGCAGGAAGUGCAGAAGGGCACGGGGGCUGUCUGAUGGCAGAGAUGCCAACCCACAGACACAGCCAUUCCAUUGAUUUGCAGAGUCUUCUGGUCUCUGAUUGACAAUGCUUGUUUUGCUAGUUAAGUUUAGAAUUCUCAGAACCUAAGCAUUGCCAGCUCUGCCCCCUAUAUCACCACAGUUAUGUUGGCAAUCACAUUAAUAUCUGCAGCCAAUUAAGUUAUUCCCACCAGUCAAGAAACUAAGAUUUGGCCUUCUGCGUGAGUAAAUAUUCUGUCUUGCAAUUUUCCCUUCCUGCAUUUGUCCCCCUGACACUUUUAAAAUAUUAGAUAAACACCAGAUUGUUCUGAGAUAAUUAACAAAGAACUGACUCUAUUCUUCAGAAACAGUGCUACUGCUUAAUAUGUAGUGCAUAGAUUCGCCACCCACAUUUCUUCUCCCAGCCCACAAAUAUAUCAUGCUGAACAAUCCAUGGAAAUAGAAGUUAUAUGCACUUGUUGCUAACAAGGAGAUGCAAUCAAGUCCACAUCUUUUGAAAAUUCCAGUGGAUGGUUGAGGAUACAGUCAAACCUUGGCUGUCAAUCAAAAUCCAUUCCGGAAGACCAUUCGACUUCCGAAACAUUCAGCAACUGAGGAUCAAAGGGCGGACGGCAAACUCAAUAGAGAAAAAAGAAGAAAACGCCCUGGAAGCUGUUCGGUUUCCAAAAAUCGUUUGAAAACCAGAGCAGUUACUUCCGGGUUUUUGUUGUUCAGGAGCUGAAAUGUUCCAAAAUGGAGGUGUUCGGGAGCUGAGGCUUGACUGUAUCUGGAAAUGUGUUCCACUGGAGGCUAUUUGAGGAAUACAGCUGAACCUGGGGUGGGAAAAGCGGUGGACAUCCAAUGAAGCUGAAUGUUGGAAGAGUCAGGAGGACAGACAGAAGAAAGUACUUCUUCAUGCAACUCAGGAGGCAGUGAUGGCAACCAACCUAGAUGACUUUCAAAGAGAUCAAGAUGAAUUCAUGGAGGAGAGGGCUAUCAGUUACUACUAGCCAUGAUGGCUCUGCUCUGCUUCCACAGCUGGAGGCAGCAAUGCGUCUUAAUACCAGUUGCUGGAGACCACAGUAUGGGCAAGUGCUCUUGUGCUCGAAUCCUGCUUGUGGGUUUCCCAUAGGAACCUGAUUGGCCAUUGUGAGAACAGGAUAUUGGACUAGAUAGGCCACUGGCCUUAUCCAGCUGCAGGGCUCUUCUUUUGUUCUUGUGCCCCAGCCAAUCAGUGCCCCCGGCAGUGGAUGACUCACAGAAGAGGAUAGUGCAGAUUUAGCUGACUCAUAACAUUAAUGUAGGACUCCAAAAGGUUCAGUGUUUCAGGUGGAUAUGAGUACAAGGACAUAUCCAGACAGCAUGCUGGAGAGCAGCAUAUGUACCUGGAACAAAUGCUGGAUGCCCCCAAGGGGAUAACUCAGUGGCAAAACUGGUUUGUCCAGAACAGAAGAACUGCACUAAAGACCAUACUCAAUGGAGGACACACUGGAGAGUGUCGAAAAUAUUCAAAUUUCUGCCUGAAUAGUUUCCCCAUGGCUUUUUCAUUCUCCUUCAUGAUGUCUCAGAAGUUGGAAACAUCUGCAUAGCAGGAGGAAGAAGGGCUUUGAGUUUGACACCAAAGGCUAGGGCUUUCUUUGGCUCUAGGAUUGGCAGGCAGGAUAAAGGCAAACAUGUCAGAAAGCCAGCAGACUCCAUACAAGGACAAUGGCAUGCUGCUCCCAGGUCUGCAGGCUCUAAUUUUCUCGCCUGACAAAACAGGCGCAAUUAAUGCCCGUCAGUUUCAGGCAGCCAACAAUCCCAAGGGCUGGUUUUGAAAUAUCUUUGGAGGAAAGGAUGAAAGGUGAUUUCCUGCUUCUACAGAAAGAGAAUGAAAAUGAAUAUGAACGAUUGCACAACACCGGCAUGUGUAAUAAAGGCAUCGGUUACUUCUCAGUCAAAGAGUUCCAAAGGCCUGACAGCAAGCCAGAAUGAAAACGCUGGAGGGAGGUGGUUGGGUCAAAUGAAGCCCCUUGGCAGGUGCUGUGCUGAAGAGAAUCCCUUACCCACAAUUCACUAGUGCCCUUGCUGCUCUUUUCAAGGUGUGAGACAUGUGACAAUCUGUUGUUCUCGCUGACACCCCUGAUUAGCAGACGUGUGACAGAUGCAAAGAGAAUAUGUCGGUCACUCAAAGCAAAGUCCCCCCACACUAACUUUUUUACAAUCUAUCUUUCUUCCACUUUUUAUCUCUUGUAAUCCAGUUCCUUAGCCCAGGGGCUGGCAAAUUUUCAGCUUUGUUUUAUUAGAAUCUUGAGGACUACCAACCAGAGCCAGGAGUAGGAAGACAAUUACUACUAGUGUUCAAUAUAUCAAUAAUGUGACAUAAAGAAAAGAAUUUAAAUUUAAAAAAGGAAAAAGCAGGUGUAAUUUGCUUACAAGAAACUCAUAUUAAAAUGUGAGAACUUAUUAAAAAUUGAUUUCUUGGAUUAUGGUACAUAGCAUGUGGUAUGAAAAGGGCUAGAGGGAUGUCAGUGUAUUUGAAUGAAUGGCAUGUGGAAAUAUUCUUUUUAAAUUUAUCAGGUCCAGUGGGAGAAAUGAUAUUGAAAUCAGUGUGUGUUUCUAAUACUGAUAGAUAGAAUAUUGAUUAAUAUAAUAUUGAUUAUUUCUAGAAGUGAUAUUAUAUGAUCCCAAGGGUGAGAAAUCAAUAAAUAAGAUUGAUCUUACUAGUAGAAAUGAACAAUCUGGGAAAUUAGCAGGUAUUGUGGGAACCAACAUGAAAGUCCUUAUGUAAACUAUUAUAAAGAUCAAAGGGACUAUUUAUUUUAUUCCACCUCACAUUCAUUACGUUUAAGAAUAGCAAUGAUAUACUAUAAAUGACCCCUAAUAUAAUAUAAAGAGUUGUAUAGUAUAAAAGCAGAGACAAAUCUCUAUGCAAAUCAUAACCUCAUAGUAUUAGGGAGACAUAGAAAUGGUGUGUGUGUGUGUGUGUGUGUGUGUGUGUGUGUGUAUGUGUUCAAUGGAGGUCAGAUGAUUUUCUCCUUUAAAAAUUCAGAAGUAGUGAACAAAUGCCAAGAAGAAUUGAUGAAUUUGUUUCUUUUAAAUGAAUCUGACAGGCUCUCUUCAACAACAGUUUGGGGUGCAAGUAAAACAUUCAUUACAGAUCAGUUGACAGCAUUAGGAGCAGAUUUAUAAGAAUUUGGGAAAGGAAUAGAACAAAUUUAAUAGAGGAAAUUACCAAAUUGGUAACGAAACAAAAGAAGCCGGGUUAAGUAGUAACUUAAACAAACUAAAUAUGUGUAAAAGCUUUGCUAAAUACAGUGGUACCCCGCAAGACGAACGCCUCGCAAGACGGAAAACCCGCUAGACGAAAGGGUUUUCCGUUUUGGAGGCGCUUCGCAAAACGAAUUUCCCUAUGGGCUUGCUUCGCAAGACGACAGCCCAUAGGGAAAUCUCAGGGACAGCGGGAAGCGCAGCGCGUCUUCCCACUGUCCUCGGACCUCCUCCGAAGCCUGGUGGCGGGGCGGGGACACCUCCUCCCGCCGCCGCCGGGCUCGGAAGGCUCCUCCCGAGCCGGGCGGGGGAGGGAACACCUGCCGCCGCCGCCCGGCCGGACGGUGCUCCGAGCCGGGCGGGGAGGGAACACCUGCCGCCGCCGCCCGGCCCGGAACGGUGCUCCGAAGCCGGGCGGGGGGAGGAAGACCUCCGCCUCUGCCCGGCUCGGAGCGGUGCUCCGAGCCGGGCGGGGGAGGGAACACCUGCCGCCGCCGCCCGGCUCGGGACGGUGCUCCGAGGCCGGGCGGGGGAGGGAACACCUGCCGCCGCCGCCCGGCCGGAACGGUGCUCCGGGCCGGGCGGGGGAGGGAAGACCUCCGCCUCUGCCCGGCCCGGAGCGGUGCUCCGAGCCGGGCGGGGAGGGAAGACCUCCCCGCCGCCCGGCUCGGAACGGUGCUCCGAGCCGGGCGGGGAGGGAACACCUGCCGCCGCCGCCCGGCUCGGGACGGUGCUCCGAGGCCGGGCGGGGGGAGGAAGACCUCCCGCCUCUGCCCGGCUCGGAACGGUGCUCCGAGCCGGGCGGUGGGGAGGGAAGACCUCCCCGCCGCCCGGCUUCGGAACAGUGCUCCGAGCCGGGCGGGGGAGGGAACACCUGCCGCCGCCGCCCGGCCCGGACGGUGCUCCGAGCCGGGCGGGGGAGGGAACACCUCCGCCGCCGCCCGGCUCGGAACGGUGCUCCGAGCCGGGCGGGGGAGGGAACACCUCCCGCCGAGCCGGGCGGGGGGAGGGAAGACCUUCUGAAGGCGGGCGGGGGCGAAGUCUUUGCUCCCCUGCCUGCCUGUCCCGGAGGGCUUUUGAAGGCGGGGAGCAAAGACUUUCGCCCCCGCCCGCCUUCAGAAGAGGUCCAGGACCUCUUCUGAAGGCUGGCGGGGGCAAAAGUCUUUGUCCCCCUGCCUGCCUUCCCAGGGGCUUUAAAUUGCCCCGGACAGCGGAGAAGUCCUCCGCUGUCCCGGGGUGAUAUUAAAAUGCCGCCCGCCAGCAUUUUAAGAUCGCCCGGACAGCGGAGAAGUCCUCCGCUGUCCCGGGGUUUUAAAAUGCUGGGGGUGGGAAGAAAAGCCCUUGCCCCCCAGCCUUCAGAAGAGGUCCGGGGACAGACUGUCCCCGGACCUGGUCUGAAGCGGUUUCCCUAGGAACGCAUUAAUUGAUUUUCAAUGCAUUCCUAUGGGAAACCGUGCAUCGCAAGACGAAAAACUCGCAAGACGAAGAGACUUGCGGAACGAAUUAAUUUCGUCUUGCGAGGCACCACUGUACAUGUAAGUUUUAUUUGAAGGGGAAAUGAAGAUGGAAAACUGUUUGCUCCUCAUCUAAAUAAGGGACAGUAAAGUAUUUGACACCCCCUGUAAAGAAAGAGGGAGGAUUUACAACAUCUAAUGAUGAAAUUGCAAGUGGGUUUUAAAUAUAUAUCAAUAAUAACAAUAAUAAUAAUAAUAAUAAUAAUAAUAAUAAUUUUAUUAUUUAUAUCCCACCCAUCUGGCACGGUUUCCCCAGCCACUCUGGGUGGCUUACAGCACAUAAAAAUGGUAAAACAUUAGACAAUAAAAAUUUCCUAAUCCAGGGUUGCUUUCAGAUGUCUUCUAAAAGUCAGGUAUUUGUUUAUUUCCUUGAUAUCUAAUCAAAACUGUACUAAACAAAACUGAACCAAGGGAUAUAGCUCAGCUUCUCUUUCAGACAUAAAAAUCCCAAAUUUUACUUUAACAGAUAAACUUAAUUUAGAGCUGCUGAUUUUGUUGGUUUCUGCUUUCCUUCACUGUGCAGCUAGCAUGUCACAAGACAGGUGUUUACAUUCCACAGUCUGUACUGUUGGAGUUUCUCACGGGAAAGGGAGACUGGAUGUGACGUACACUGGUUUCCUGUUUUUCACUGUGUGAUUCUCUCCAAGCUGUUGAGGAGAGAGGAUGCAUUUUCUGCUCCUGCAGAGGCAAGAUGUCUUUCUGUAAUAUACCAGCUUUGAACUGUAAAUAAAGCAAUAAAGAGUAUGCAGCACGUAUUCUCAUCCUUCCGUUGGGCACGACAGACUCUGCUUAAAUCAACACGUGGUUAUGGGGCUCCAGAGGUCGAAUCGGAGUGCCGGCAGAUCGGAAUGCAGAGGGACGGAUCGGAAAGGAAUCUGCUCUGCGCGUAGAAGUGAUUGAUGAGGUAUGUGCUACUGCUCCGGGCAGCCUGCCAGCUUCAAGAUAAUGGCUUUAUGGCUGGACUUUGAACUUUUAAAGCCGGUUUUGCAAAUAGGCAAAAGGCUCCCAGGCACAAGUCACUAUGCUGGGGAAAUCGAAAGUAACUUUUAAGUGUGCCUUUGUAAUAAAGCAGCUGCAGCAGUGACGCAGCAAGAUUUAAAGCAGCAGAUAUGACGCUGAAGGCUAAUGCCAGAGUCAUGAUGGCCCUUCAGGAUGCUUGUGGGAUUCCUAAGCUCAACAAGAAAAAUUAUAGCGACUGGGUUCAGUAUGCAGAGGCAAUUCUGCGGAAAGAGGGUUUGUUUGAGGUGAUUACAGGAACCCCCAGUUCCAGUUACAGAUGCAUGGGAAGCUAAGGAUUCCAAAGCAAGGGAACUCUUACAUUGAUAGUAUCCCCAGAAGAGCUCUGUCUAUUGCGUGAUAAGACCUCAGCCAGAGAAAUUUGGGACGCUCUGAGAGAGGCUCACUUAAGGACAGAAGCUGGAUCCACUAUGUUUUAUUUUAACAAGCUGCAUAAUAUGGCUCUUGCUGAAGGUGGAGAUGUGCGUUUACAUCUAAUGGAGAUGCAAAAUCUGAGACAUGAGCUGCAACAGAGAGGACUCAACUUUCCAGAGGCUGUGUAUUCUUUCAUGAUACUACAAUCUUUGGGUUCAGGUUGGGAGUCUGUUGCAACCCAGAUUGCUGUGCAACCAACUGCUCAGCUGACAGUGGACUUUGUUACUGCCGUGAUUUUAAAUGAAGCAGAUCGCCGGGGUGCUAGCUGCAUGGGCAAGGGGGAGUCUUCACAGACGUCAUCCCAUAGUGCAGUGGAACCACCAGAUGGCGCCAAAGCUUUGAAGGCAGUGAAAUGCUACUCAUGUGGACGUCUAGGCCAUAUGAAGAGGGAAUGCAGACAUCCCAGGGCCAAGACAGAGCAGCGCAGCGAAGCUCAUCACGCGGAAAAGGCCGAGGCAAAGGCAAAGGUCCGGUGUCUAGGACAACGCAGCACAAGGCUAUGGUUUCACGCUUCACUCCAAAGGUUGCAGAGGUCCAGAAGACGUCUAGAUCUUUCUUCGUUGUUGAUUCAGCGGCCACCCACCACAUGUGCAACGAUAAGAAACUGUUUGUGUCUUUUACACCGCAGGAAGGUGCGAUUCACCAGGCGGAUGACCACACUAUUCCCAGUAAAGGCUACGGAACUGUUGUUCUUCACAGUUUGGACUUAUCGAUACAGAAUGUGCUUUACGUGCCAGACGCCAAACAUAAUCUGCUCAGCGUUGGACAGCUGAAUGAGCGGAACAUUGACGUUUCCUUCAAGAACAAGAAGUGCAUCAUCACAAAGAAAAAUGAUUAUGUAUUGCAUGCAGAAUAUGUUGAUCGUUUGUUUGUUUUGUAUUAUGAUGAUGUGGAGCAGGAUGACACUUGUUGCAUUGCAGGUUCUAACAAAAGUUUGCAUGCAGAAUGUAUUCACGAUUUUCAUCGCAAAUUUGGUCAUUUGCAUUUUGAGGCAGUAUCUAAAAUGCCUGCCUUGGUUGAAGGUAUGACUAUUAAACCCUGCAGGUACCACAUGAAGUGCAAAGCAUGCGCAGCAAACAAGGUGAAAAUGGCUGCGAAAGGUAAGGUGUCUAGUAGGAAAGCUACAGAACCAUACCAGGUUGUUCAUGCUGAUUUGGUUGGACCACUAGCGCCCUCUUUGGGUGGAAAUAGAUACUUCAUGGUUCUCAUUGAUGCAUUUUCUAGAUAUAUUUUUGUGUACAAUCUCAAGCAGAAAUCGGAGGCUUUUCCUAGGUUCAAGGAAUUCUGUGCUUGGUUGGAAAAUGUGCAUGGUAAGAAGAUAAAGACUCUUUUCAGUGAUCGCGGGGAAUUCACUUCUCAGCAGUUUGAAGCUUUUCUGACUGAGAAAGGAAUUCAACACGAUUUGUCUAGUCCUCGCUCGCCAUGGCAGAAUGGACUUGCGGAACGGGCAAAUCAGACAUUGCUUCAAGGGUUAAAGACCUUGCUGCAUGAUGCCAAUCUUCCAGAGAGUUAUUGGGCCGAAUCUCUCUCGUGUUUUGUUUACAGUUACAAUCGCAGGUUAUCUUCAGCGCUUGGUUGUACCUCUAUGAGAAGAUGUUUGGCAAGAAGCCAUACAUCAAACACAUGAAGAUUUUUGGUUCUGACAUGUGGGUUCGCUCACCACAAAACUCCAAGUUAGACAAGCGUGGAUUGCAUGGUAUCUUUCUAGGUUAUCAGAAAGGGUCUUACAGAAUAAUGAUGACUGACUCUAAGACAAUUAAGCUCACGAGAAGUGUCGAGUACAAUGCAAAGUGGGGGGAGAAUGUGGUAAUUUUCCAAUGUUAUCCUGAUGACGGUGAUGAGACUGAGGAUAGUCAAAAGCAACCACAACAGCCCACACCCACUGAUGAAGGUUCUGAGUCUGAAUCUGAAACUGAAUCGGGUGAUUCAGAGGAUUUCAAGAGUGCGAAAGCCUCUAUGCGACCCUCUGAAAGCUCUGAUCAAGAAUUGGAGGAACCAUUGUUCACAAUAGGUCGUUUUUCUCCUAAGAAGGAAGAGGAGAGUGUUGAAGACUUAAGGCUAAUUCGUAGGUCACAGAGAGCCACAAAAGGCAAACCUCCAAAGAGAUUUGCUGAUGAGUUUGCCACGAUAGCAGUAACAGCUGUUAAAAGCUCCAAGAAGGUAUUUGAACCUUCAAGUUUCCAAGAAAUCCAGGGUUUGGAUUCAAAGGAAGCUGAGCCAUGGUUAAAUGCCAUGAAGGCUGAGCUUGAUUCCUUAGAAAGGAACAAAACAUGGGAGCUAGUUCCAGUAGUUCCAGGAAUGAAACUGCUUGGAAGCAAAUGGGUCUUCAAAGCGAAGACAGAUCAAAAUGGCAAGAUAGUCAGACACAAAGCCAGAUUGGUAGCCAGAGGUUUUGCACAGGUACCAGGUGAAGACUAUCACGAGACCUAUUCACCCACAGUGAGAUAUGAAAGCAUUAGGCUUAUGCUCAAGCUAGCUGCAGAGGAAAAUCUACACAUUAGUCACCAUGAUAUUAAUACAGCUUUUCUGUACGGAUCUCUAGAUGAAUCACUUUAUAUGCUUCCACCUGAUGGCGUACAGGUAAAACAGGGAUUUGUUUGUGCUCUGAAGAAAUCCCUUUAUGGUCUCAAACAAAGUGCACGGUGUUGGCACACAAAACUCACUGAAGUAUUGUUUUCUCUAGGUUUUCAGCAAGGAAAGCUGAUCCAUGUGUAUUUGUCAAAGAGGAGGGGCAAAAGAAACUGUACUGUUUGUUUUAUGUUGAUGAUUUAUUAUUCUUUUGGAAAGAUGUUGCAAUGUACAAUAGCGCCCUAGCUCAACUGAAAGAGCACUUUGACAUGAAAGAUCUUGGUGAGGUAAACAACUACCUAUCUCUGGAAAUAGAGAGAGAUCAAGAUGGUAACAUUCUAGUACACCAGUCACGGAAAAUUGCUGAUGUGUUAAGCAAACUAAAUCUGAUGGAUGCUAACCCUGUAGACACACCGAUGACAACAGGUUAUCAGGUAGAUGACACUGAAGAAGCAUUUUCUGACACUACACUGUACAGGAGUGUGCUAGGCAAGCUAAACUUCAUUGCCAGAUGUUCAAGACCAGACAUUGCUGUUAGCUGUAAUUUGCUAAGCAGACAAGUCAACAAUCCUAGUGUCAAGGAUUGGAAAGCUCUGAAACGCAUAGCGCGGUAUUUGAAAGGCACUAUGCAUUACAGACUGAGAUUUAACAAUCAGAAGUCUGGUGGUCUUGAGAUAUUUGCAGAUGCAAGUUUUGGAAGUGACACUACAGACAGGAAAAGUACGUCUGGAGUUUGCUACAUGUACAAUCAGGGUCUGUUUGAUUGGUCAUGCAAGAAGCAAACAACAGUUAGCUUAAGUACUUGUGAAGCUGAACUGAAUGCACUGUCUUAUUCACUUAAGGAUUGUGAAUGGUUAGUACAAUUGUGCAAAGAUAUGAAAAUUCCUGUCAAAUGUCCAAUCCAGGUUUACCAGGACAACAAAGCAUGUUUGGCUUUGCUGAAGUCUGAAGGUUGUAAGCAAAGCACAAAGCACUUGCAAUUAAAGUUGCAGCAUGCUAGGGAAUGUAUUCAGAAGGGACUCGUAACGGUGUCCUAUAUGCCAGGUAAUGAAAUUCCUGCUGAUGUAUUGUCCAAGAUUGUAUCAAGGGAUCAACACUGUACCUAUGUGCAGAAGUUGGGUUUGUACUGAUACUGUACGAACACGCUGCCCAGUGAUGUUCACAGACAGGGGAGGAUGUUGGUUUCUGCUUUCCUUCACUGGGCAGCUAGCAUGUCACAAGACAGGUGUUUACAUUCCACAGUCUGUACUGUUGGAGUUUCUCACGGGAAAGGGAGACUGGAUGUGACGUACACUGGUUUCCUGUUUUUCACUGUGUGAUUCUCUCCAAGCUGUUGAGGAGAGAGGAUGCAUUUUUCUGCUCCUGCAGAGGCAAGAUGUCUUUCUGUAAUAUACCAGCUUUGAACUGUAAAUAAAGCAAUAAAGAGUAUGCAGCACGUAUUCUCAUCCUUCCGUUGGGCACGACAGACUCUGCUUAAAUCAACAGAUUUCAGGGACUGAAAUAUAAGACACAAUGAUUUUUGUUUUUAUUUUAAGUAAAGCUCCAAAAUGUGUUUACAGAAAUAUAUCUAUCGUCUAUCUAUCUUCUAUCUAUCUUCUAUCUAUCUACCUAUCUAUCUAUCCCUAUCUCUAUCUAUUCAUAUAUAUACAAAAGCUAUAAUAAUAAUAAUAAUAAUAAUAAUAAUAAUAAAAAUAAUAAAAAUAAUAAAAUUUAUUUAUAUCCCGCCCUCCCCAGCCAAAGCCGGGCUCAGAGCGGCUAACAACAGUAAAAUAAUACAGCAUUCUAAAAUCAUUUCAUUAUAAAAUCAGUUCAAAUCAAAUUGAUGGCAACCAUUGGGCUAGAGUUCUUCAUUGUUAGCAAAACCUUUAGCUAAAACAAUAAAUUUAAUUAUGGAAAGGAAGAGAAUUCCAGAAUCAUGAAAAGAAGUAUAUACAGUUGCCAUUCCCUAAGAAGUUGAGGAUUCUUCAUCAGUUACAAGCAUAUCGAUUACAAGAUUUUUACUGGAAUCUUAGCAAAAGGUUUGAAUACUAUAAUUGGUACAUUUAUAAACUUGGAUCAAUCUAGCUUUUGGGAGGUUGAAGGAUGAACAAUAAUAUUCAUAAGAUCAUACAUAUCUUAGAUCACACUUGUAAUAUUAAACAAGAAACUUGCUUCUUUUGGGUGCGGAGAAAGCCUUUGAUAAUAUUGAAUGGCACUUUUCUUUGAGAAAGUUUCAUUUAAGGGAUUCUUUUAAUUCAUGAGUAACAGCUUUUUAUACAGAUCCAAAUACUAAAAUACAUACAAAUGGGAUAGUUUCAAAAAUCUUUAAUUUAGCUAAAGGCACCAGAUGGGGUGCCCUUUAUCACCACUUUGUAUCUGUGUUGGCUGUAGAAUCCAUGGCAAUCAAUUUAAGAUACGAUGAUAAUAUACAUGGAAUGAAAAUUUAAGACAAAGAGGAGAAAAUCAAGCUAUAUGCAGAUAAUAUAAUAUUAAUUCUGGAUUAUCCCUUCAUUUCUUUAAUGGAAGUAGAAAAACUAAUCUUAGCAUAUGGUAGAAUGACAGAAUGCAGCUUAAAUAAACGGAAUAAAACAGAAUUUGGAGACAUAAAUAUAGUAGAUGUAUGGAAAAAAACAAUUACAAGAAACAUAUAGAUAUUGGGUAAAUAAGCCAUUGGGUAAAUAAAUAACUAUGAACCUUAGUAUAGAGAAUGUUGUUCCAUGUUGCUGGAAUUGCAAAAUAUAUAUUUGUCUUUUUCAAAUAGGAUCUCUGCAGUAAAGAUGGCAGUACUUCCAUUUUCUAUUAUUUCAACUCUUGACUAUUAAAAAAAUAUUAAAGUUGGUAUUAAAUAAAUGGCGACAAGUGAUUUUUAAAUUUAUUUAGAAUAAUAAAAAGCCAAGGUAGUGCACAGGAAUAGCUUAGAAUUAAUGGUCAAAUAAGAGACACUUCAGAGUGCGAGAACGUACGUAAUUAUGAUGACAAAUAAACAUGUGCUGGCCAAAAUUCACACAUUAUUUUUGAAAUAUGAUACUGAGCAGGAGCAGGUAAAAAAAAUGCAUGAAAAAAUUGCCUCUGUGUGUGUGGUGUGUGUGUGUAUGUAUGUAUGUAUGUAUGUAUACACACACACACACACACAGAGAGAGAGAGAGAGAGAGAGAGAGAGACACUAGAAGUGACAUACAACCAUUAUGACUAAAUUUUGCUCUAACCACUUUGUCCACAACCUGCCUAGCUUAAUGCAGCUCUCUCAUGUUCCCUAUUACAUACUUUUUUCUUCAAAAUAAGAAGUCACAAAUAUACCCUACUCUCGUAAGAGAAUUGCUACCCCACCCAAUCAUUUUUAGCUCCUUUCUGCUCUUCAUGAUACUCUUUUCAGAUGCACAAGCAGAACUGCACACAGUAUUCCAAGUAGACCUGUAUGAGGGCAUUGCAAUAUUUCAGUUUUAUUUUCAGCCCUGACGAAAGAAAAGGUCCUAUUCCUCCUACUCCUCCCAGCUCCCUUUGCCUCUGAGAAAGAAACACAAACGUCCUUGUUUAGUGUCGUCGUCCCCCCCCCCCACACACACUUGGAGAAGAGGGAUUUGGGUCUCCUGUGGAGCCCACCUGCCACCUGGCAGAGACUGAAACCCACCACAUGAGUCCAUGUGAGAGGCAGUCUGUGGCAUAAUUAAUUUAAACAAUGCUUUCUCUCCCUCUUGCUGUCCUAAUUAUUUUCCUCCUUUCACAUUCUCCGUUGGCCACAAUAAAUCUAGCCUCAGGCAGGGAAGGCUGGCAAAGUUUAACCAGUUCCUUGGGGUUGUCAUUUCAGGAUUCCAAGCUUGGGGUCACCUUGUUGUCCUUCAUACCUCUUUUAGUAAGUUUUGCACCAAGAUGGAGCAAAAUGAGGCCCUGGGUGGAAGCAGCAGCAGUUGUAGGAAAUGCACAGCAGGACAAAAGCAGGGAAACAGCCCAAGUCUGCUUGAAGGUCUUCUCAUCAAGUUGUGAGACAGCAGGCAGGCAUACCAUCCAACUUUUUCUACGCAAAAUCAAGGACACCCCCCCCACUAUGAUGCUCCAUUGCCUUUACUCUUGCCACUCAUCCUCACUGCCUACUUUUGCCGCUAGCCUUUUUUUUGCAAAACCAUGGGGGGGGGGGAUGCCAUUUUUUAGCUAUUUUUCUGGGAGAUCGGCAAAAAUGGCACUGCCAACAUGGUGUGCCAUAUAUCCGAAUUCCUGUGGACGUUUUUGUUGAUCUCCACCAGGGCACUGCUGUUGACUGCAGUAUUCUGUAUAUGCGUGGGACAUUCCAAGCAUAUGGCAACCCUGCUACAAGGGUCCCCAACAGCAGUCCGUGAUGCCGCUGCAGCUCCUGGACCUACUGCCAACCACACAGGGAUGUUGGCAUGGGGUGACACCUGCCAGCAAGGAGAAAAUGGAAUGGAAUGCCCUUGCCUGUUCACCCUCUAGACCAGGGGUUGUCAACCUGGUCCCUACUGCCCACUAGUGGGUGUUUCGGGAUUCUAGGUGGGUGGUAGGGGCUUCUACGGCACAGCUGAAUCCUCCUUCCAUUGAGCGCUGGUGGGCGGUAAGGAAAUUUUACCAUCAAGAAAGAUGCAUUAGUGGGUGGUAGGUAUAAAAAGGUUGACUUCCCCUGCUCUAGACUGAGGCUCAUUGCGGCAGGCAGGGGCCUGGAAAGCAGUGGAACAUAAUAGCCCACAUCCCGCCCCCCCGUGAGCUAAAGAUGGCUUACAUGGUUCUCCCCACACCUCAUUUUUAAUCCCCACUGCAACCCUGUGAGGUAGAUUAGACUGAGAGGCAGUGAGGGGAAUGGGACUUUGUGCUGACCAUCAGGCAAUGGCUUAUUCUACCUGCCUUGUCCCACCCUCCAGCUGGGGCCAGAUUUAGGUUUGAUGAGGCCCUAAGCUCCUGAAGGUAUUGGGGCCCUUUAUAAAUCCAGCUGCCCUUCGUCAACAACAAAUUGUUGCUGUUUUUUGUGUUGAAUAUAUGCUAUCUGGUAAUUUAUGGACCUAAUAGGUAUCUAACCAGUGAUAUUUUAGGGAGCAGACUAGCAGGCGAGGCCCAUUACUUACAUCAUAUGAGCCUACACAAAACAAAAUACUGUUGCUGUAUGUAGGUUUUAUUUUAUUUGUGUUUUAUCUUAUAUUUUGGAAAUGUACAUCCAGGUUUUUUUUCUUUAAAUUUUUUUGGGGGGCCCAAGAGAGUGGGGCCUUAACUAUAGCUUGUUUAGCUUAUACGUAAAUCCAACAUUGCCUCCAGCUUUAGGAGCCCUCAGAAUGGAGUUUCUGCCACUGGCAUUAUGUGUAUGCAUCUUCUGAUGAACUGAAUGGAAGACUAUGAGUCGUGGGGGUGACAAGAGUGCGUGUGAAUUCAGCAGUGCUUAGUUUGGUUUGGUUGUUGGUUUGCUAAUAUUGUUCAUACAGUCAUACCUCUAGCUGUGUUAAGUUCACGUUGUGGAUUUUCGGGUUGCGAACCCGGCAAACCCAGAUGUGUAUACUUCCGGGUUUCGCCGCAUGUGCAGAAGCGUUCUGCAUGCUUUGCACAUGUGCAGGAGCACUCGAUUGCAUCACACGCACACGCAGAAGCAGCGCUCUACUUACGGACUUUCCAGGGUGCGAACGGCACCCCGGAAUGGAUCGCGUCCGUAAGUAGAGCUACCACUGUACUGUUUUGUGGAUAAUGAGUGCUGUAAUGCUUUGUGAAUGUUACGACUAUUCUUGUGCUAUUUAGCUUAUUUUUUAGUUGUUUUGUUAAUAGUGUUUUAUAGAAGGUGGUUGUUUUGCUGAAGAUUUGUAAUUGUUUUACUGAUGAUUUGUUAAUUAUUUUAUGUGAUUCAUGUGGUGGUUGUGGUGUUUUUCUUUGUUAUUGUUAUUUAUUGUUUGCAAACCACUUUUGACUCAUGUGAGCAUAGAAACAUAAUACAUGAAAUGAAGUGACUGGCCCCAAGUCACAGCCAGUGAGCUUUGUUCAUGGCUGAAUGGGUAUUUGAACCCAGGUGUCUUCCGGGUCCGAGUCCAACACUAAUCACCGCACCACACUGGCUCUUGUAAAAAAAUAAACAUAGUCUCCCUUAUACACACCCAUUCACAAAGUCACCCCAGCUCUAUUCUGACCUGCAGUUCUAGUUGAGUUGUCUGGGCAGGCUUUCUGAUGGAGAAGGUGGAGCCAUUUCAAGUUUUCAGUAGCUCAGCACAUUCACUUGGGGUUUGCUUUUUUUCUAUAUCUCUUUCUCUCUCCAAUUGUGUUUUGUUCAUUUCAAACUGACACAGCACAGUAUGACUGUCGUUCCUUCAAGGGCACAUUUUGGGCAGGCAACAGUGGUCAUAUAUUUUCCUGCUUGGCUUUUACCUCUCUUUUUCCAGCUGUACAGUAAUGACUUUGUACAGUAGCUUUUGCUUCCCUGACAAAUCUAUAGAAAUAUAUUCAGCAAGGACAGGCAGCGUCGCGGCCGAGGAUGACGCUUAACGCUCAGGAGUUGUACUUUUGACUUACAUAUUGUGUUCUAGCCAAGGAGAGUGCUGACUGGCUGCAGUGUGGCGGGAGGCUGGGCUUAGGACACAAAAGAACCUUUGCACAUGAUGGAGGAUGAAACCCCUGGAAUAUGUGUCAAUGGGUUGAUGUUUUUUCUCUGUAAGGGGGGCAGGGAAGGAGGGAAGACAAUGGAAAGACAGGAAUCCAGUGGCAACAAGGCUGACUAAAACCCCAUUUGGAUCCCAAAGAGAUAACUCAUCAUAUACACAGGCAAGGAAAAGCUGUGUGUAGUAGGGCAUGCACCCUGGAAUUUAAGAAGGCUGACUUCAAGUAGCUUAAGGAGCUACAAGGUGAUAUCCCAUGGUCAGAAAUACUCAAAGAGAAGAGAGUUUGAGAUGGGUGGGAGUUUCUUAAAGGUAAAAUACUGAAGGCACAAAUCCAGACAAUUCCCACAAGAAAGAAAAAUGGUAGGCACCUAAAGAAACCCGUGUGGCUGCCUAAUUUACUUGCAGAUGAGCUGAAUUGUAAGAAGACCAUCCAAGUCGGUGGCCAUCACUGCCUCACAUGACAGCAAAGGCCAUAGUUUAACUCUGCACUGUGUGAAGAAGUGCUUUAUUUUGACUGUUCUGAGUUUCCCAACAUUUAGCUUCCUUGGAUGUCCAUGAGUUCUAGUUAUGAGAGGGGGAGAAGAACUUCUCUCCUCUCUCUCUCUCUCUCUCUGCCAUGCAGGAUUUUACAGCCUUGUAUCAUGUCACCACUUCCUCAUUUUCUCCAAACAAAAAAGUCCCAGAUGCUGCAACCUUUCCUUGCAGGGGCAUGAUUAGCACAUGUGCCUUUGGUCAGGAGGCUUACAAUCUAUGUCAACUCAGCAAGAGAGAGAUGGAGGGAAGAAGCAGUUAAAAGAAUGGGGUCGUAUGGGGUAGUCUUGUGGUCAACUGAACCAAGGCAAAGGAAAGCAAGAGUUGUUUCCUGGCCUUCAGACACCACCAUUUUCCUUUUGUUUGAUGCCAUUUGCAAGGAACACUGAAGCAACUUUCAUUCUAAAGAAUCAUUAUAUAUGUGUAGGCUGUCUGCUUUAAGCUGAAGGCUGACAUAUUUUUUUAAUAUUUUUACAAAAUCUUGGAAGAAUGCACUAUAAAGGAGGUGUGUGUGUUUGUGUGUCUGGGGAGGGAAGCCCGAUAGAGUAAAUUCAAUUUAGCAAACCCAUCAAUCAAGCUUCUAACCAUCAAACAUAAAGAACUUGGGCACAUUUCAGUAGAGGGCACUCCAGACCGAGGAAUCUAUCCUUGCCAAAUCCCAGGCAUAUUUAGAAACUCUGGCACAUGAAUCUCUGUAAUGUGUACACAGGGCCUCAUAACUCACACUGAUUGUGGCUGUAUUAUACCUGAUGCAUAUAAAUUUAAACAAAAUGCAGGCAGUUGUGGCUAAUUCAACCACCAACCAUUUUACUCACUCCCCCUUUACUUUUUUCCCCUUCUAGGCCCUUCCUUUGUCUUCAUUACUGCUGAAAACUAAAAAGCCCCUGAGGCAAAAUUGCUUAUUUCACACCACUUUCUGGGUGGAUCAUCUUUCAAACGUGUUUUGAUUUGGACUUGAAAAUACUCUGUCCCAUCAGCAAUUCCCCCCC